AAAAUUUUAUUCAACAGGAUACAUUUGCACAUAUACGACAAAAACAAAAAUUCAACCAUAAAACUUGCGAAUACAGAACACAGAUUUAUUAAAACUGUAAUUGUUUCCUACACAUUAAAUAAUAUUAUUCCAGUACAUCUUGCAAUAGAUAAUUAUCAACAAGCUUCUUAUCAUAUUUAUUUGGUCAAUAAAUUAUGGCAUUUUUUUGAGUUUACAUAAUCUGGUCUUCUCUUAUCUGAUAAUGUUGGUAGAACACCUUUUAAAAUCUUUAAAUUACUUUUUAGUAUUUUUUUACCUUAAUCUUAUGGAGUAAACAAUUUAAGGUUGUAUGCCAUGUAAAAUAUCUUGGUCUCUAUUAACUACCAAACUAUUUUUCACAUUUAUUUCUUCUGCAACAAAACUUCUAAACACAACUGGCUGUCCAAAGGAAAAUAUCCUUGCCUCUUUCUUAAAGGAAGUAUUUAACUUCAGUUGGUCAGAUUUAGCGUCCUACUUGUUUUCAUUGUAAUCUAUAUUUUAGACCAAAGCCUCACUGAAUAUAGCAGAAAAGCUUUGACUGUUGACAUUGUGCUUACUGUUAAAAUUUACAAAAGAAAUCUCCAAUUAAAAUUACAAACAAGUCACUCUGGUCCUUUCACAUUGAAACUUUAUUUUAUAACUCUCAAAGAUUGCUAUGGUCAUUACCAGUUAAAUAAGAUCUUUACUGUACUAAAUAUCUGAUAAUUUGAUUUGAAUUUUUAAUUUAAUAAUAAUCUAAUUUAGGAUGUAGCACGUCUUCUAAUUGGCUGACAGUGUUUUGUCUAUCAGCUCAUAGAUAUCAUUUUGUCUUGUGACUGUGACGUCAUCAACUUUUUUAUGUUUUACUCAGGUUUAAAAUGCAAUUUAGAAUUAAAUUAUGAGGAAGGAUUGCAAAAUUUUUCUGUCUAUUUGAAAUAACAUAUAAAAUUUUGGUGCACACUUCAGAGUAACCCUUAAUGCACGUUAUUCAGUGUGCACCAUAUUUUUGAUGUUGUUUCUAAUUGACAAUUUUUUUUUUAUAGUUAUUCCUAAAGUAACUAAGUGUACAAAGAAAUUUUGUUUGACAGAUAGUAUAAAGGAAUGUCCACUGGACUAAAUAUUCAUUUAUAAAUCCAUUACCUCAGAAAACUCUGAUUUUUCAUUUCCAGAUAUAUAAUAUCAGAGUAAAAUCUCAUACAAAAAUAUGGAAGAACAAAGACUUCAACAACAUUUAACUGAGUGUAUAUACAGAUAUCACAUGCAUGUCUAAUAGAAAAUAAUAUAUUUCCACUACCAGGCAAUUAUAUAUUAUAAUUUUAACCUUUAAACCAUUCAUUAAAGUAUCACCAAUGAUGCUAAAAACAGCAUCUGUGUAAUACUUAAUAUCUUUCUUCUAGAAUACAUUUUUCUACUAAUAAUAAUAGAAAUGACAAUGUAAAAGUUGAAAAAAUGAUGUGGAUACCAUUAGAAUAAAUAGGUACUUACAGCUUCAGAUUGUUUCUGGCACAUGCUUUCAAUAGUUGAGUGUUUUUAUAUUAUGAUAGUUAAGAUUAUAUGUAAAUAUUUACAUUUUACGAUUUUAAUCUGUACACAAUAUAUAUUAUUCUCGGUCAAUUAAAAUAUUGCAAGACAUGUUUUUGACAUCAAUAUGAUGUCAUGACUGAUAGGUUUUCUCAGCAACAAGACAUGUAUUAUCUGGUUAUACUAAUACUAAAGCUUCCAUUUAAAAAAAGAUUUCUCAUUUCAAGCAAUAACAAAACAGAUGUAAAAUGGGACAAAAAUCUACUCAUGACAAAAAUGUAAAAUAUUUGCAAGUGCAAACUUUGAAUACAAAAACAUAUAUACACAAUUAAAAGCAGCUGUUUAAGAUAAAGGUUCAAUGUAAAAUGCAAAUACACAUACAUAUAAAAGACAACAUUUAAAAAUACAAUUAUAAAUGUUUUACAUAUUAUUAUCUAGUAUAAUAUACAGGUACAUAGUAAAAUUUAAAUCCUUAUGAUAAAAUACAAUGGGUUCAAUUUUUUCUCUAAAAUUCACAGGAAAAUGGAUGCAUAUAAUGAGAUCAUAACCUUCAUUUAUAACUUAAAGUGGUAUAAAACACCAUGGCUAAACUUAAUUUGGCUAUUUUAAUUUUCUUAAAUAUGUUUAAAUUUUAUCAGAAAAAUUGAAAAAUUUGACCCCAUAUUUACUUUCACCCGACAAAAAACAUUCAUUUUGAUCAUAGAGAAGCUUUAUAUUUCCUGAACAUUAGAAUGUGAUUAAAACCUUCAACUGAUUUUUUCAGAGUUAUCUCCCUGUAGUGUUAUGUACCACCUUAUUAUAAAGUUAACCCUUUCCUCCAUAAUGACGCCUUUUGACGCCACCCCCUUUACUCCAUAAUGACGCUUUUUGACGCCAGUGUUGUACCUCAGUUGAAAUGCUUUGACUACAAAAUGUCUGCAUCAGACUUAAAAAAAUUGUAUCCAAUAUGAAAAGGAUUUUCAUGAAAAUUAUCUGACUUAAAUUUCAUUGAUGAAAUAUUGGUUUUCACAAUGUAUUAACACUUUAAAACUGAUGUUGUUUUUAACUGAAAAAAAUCCUAUGCGAAUCAAGUAUAUUACAAAAAAAAAUCCAUGGAGGAAAGGGUUAAGUGAUUUUUUUCGAAGAAAUAAAGAGAAAGCAGACUUUUCAAAAAGGAAUAUAUUACAUAUG
rnacentral:lncRNA from 1 species